rnacentral:lncRNA from 1 species
GGAAAUAGGAGAAGAGCACUGUACCACUGUGACAGAGUUCAUUGUUCUUGGAUUAUCAGAUCCCCUGAGCUGAGAGUCUUUCUCUCCCUUCUGUUCCUUCUCACAUAUGGAGUCACUACGUUUGGGCCAACCUUGACAUAAUUGCACUGAUUCAGGAAUGAACUUGUGGUGUUCACUGUGGUCACUUUCAAUGAGAUCAUCACCAUCUUGAUCAUCCACACCUCCUGCUUGUUAUUCUCAUCACCAUCCUAAGGAUGCACUCUGCAGACGGAAGCUGCCUAUCUUUAUUAAACCAUGUCUUAUCCUCUUUCUUGGAGAGUUCAAGUGUAUCAGGAAGCUUUGGUUCGAAUCCUGGGCGCAGGACAUGGCACUGCUCAUCAAGCCACGCUGAGGCGGCGUCCCACAUGCAACAACUAGACGGACCCGCAACUAAGAAUGUACAACUAUAUACUGGAGGGCUUUGGGGAGAAAAAGGAAAAAAAU